rnacentral:rRNA from 1 species
ACGCACGCUGGCGGCGUGCUUAACACAUGCAAGUCGAGCGGUAAGGCCUUUCGGGGUACACGAGCGGCGAACGGGUGAGUAACACGUGGGUGAUCUGCCCUGCACUUCGGGAUAAGCCUGGGAAACUGGGUCUAAUACCGGAUAUGACCUCCUAUCGCAUGGUGGGUGGUGGAAAGAUUUAUCGGUGCAGGAUGGGCCCGCGGCCUAUCAGCUUGUUGGUGGGGUAAUGGCCUACCAAGGCGACGACGGGUAGCCGACCUGAGAGGGUGACCGGCCACACUGGGACUGAGACACGGCCCAGACUCCUACGGGAGGCAGCAGUGGGGAAUAUUGCACAAUGGGCGAAAGCCUGAUGCAGCGACGCCGCGUGAGGGAUGACGGCCUUCGGGUUGUAAACCUCUUUCAGCAGGGACGAAGCGCAAGUGACGGUACCUGCAGAAGAAGCACCGGCUAACUACGUG